CUCGGGAGCUCAAGUGAUCUGCCUGUCUUGGCUUCCCAAGUGCUGGGAUUACAGACGAACACCAAAUUCUACAACUAUCUACACAAAGAAUGAUCCCCACAAGAACCAAACAUCAGGAAUCAGGUGAGCAGUCACAGUACCUGGUUCUAACUUCAUAUCACUGAAAGAGGCAAGGAAAAGGGCAGGAAAGACAGUCUUGAAUUGCCAACAACACUCCUGGCCAGUGCCCCCAGAAGUAGCUGGCCAUGUAGCAUGGAGACACAAUCUGUGCCCCCGGAGGGGAGAGAACACAGUGAUUGUGGGACUUUGCGUUGGCAUGCAGUGCUGCCAACACUGGGCAGAACUCAGCUGGCACCCAUGGAGGGAGCAUUUAAACAAGCCUUGGCCAGAAGGGAAUCACUCAUCCCAGCAGUCGGAACUUGAGAUUCAGCAAGCCUUGCCGCUGUGGGCUGAAGUGCUGUGGGAUCCGAAAUAAACUUGAAAGGCAGUCUAGGUUACAAGGACUGUAAAUCCUGGGCAAGUCCUGCUGCUGUGCUGGGCUGAGAGCCUGUGAACAUGGAGGACACACAACCUAGUGAGACACCAGAUGGCGCAGCUAAGGGACUGCUUGCAUCACCCCUCCCCCAACUCCAGGCAGCACAAC